AUGCAUGAGAUAGAGCAAAAGGGCUCAACAUUUUGGGCCAAUAUUCAAACUUGGUUCCAUGAACACAAGCAUUUCGAGCCAUACUUCGACAGCCUCAUCCGCAAUAGUGGGGUGAAUCAGAGAAUAAGCCUUCAUGCAUUUUUGGUUGAAAUUGAAUGGACAACCCAAGUGAAAUCUAUUCAUUGCCAAGACAGCUGGCUGGACACCGAGGAAGAAAUCAGUGAUCCAACCAACCCAACAAAAGAGCCACCUAAGAAGAAAGAGGAGGCAUACGUCAAGCGCUCCGACGUCAAGGAGGCAUGCAAGGUCGAGAGAUUUAACAUGUUGACGGCGGUGAAUGACAAGAAGAUAAAACUCAAAGAGAAGAACGCGAUGCUCGAAGAGAAGAAGGUUGAGGUCACAACCGCUGCAGACACGAAGAUGUUGACCAUGAAGAUGGAUGAUUUGGGUGAUGAUGCAGGAAUGACCGUGCAAGCCGUCCGAUAUUCCCUGUUCCACAGCACGGUGGCCGUGACUUACAAAGUGGCCAGCCAACCUAAAGCGCGUGAAAGCGACACAAGCUUCAGAAACAACCUUAGCAAUUUUUUAUUUUGCGAAAAUGAUUAA
rnacentral:rRNA from 1 species